rnacentral:lncRNA from 1 species
AUGACCAUGAAUGCGGCUGAUGUCGUCAUUCCUAGGGAAAGCUACCACCCUGCUGACUUGUUAGAGACGCAGAUGGACCAAACUGCCCAAGACACUAAUCAACAGAUGACCAUGAAUGCGGCUGAUGGUGUCAUUUCUGGGGAAAGCUCCCACUCUGCUGUCUUGUUAGGACCACACAUGGACGAAACUGCCCAAGACACUAAUCAACAGAUGACCAUGAAUGCGACUGAUGUCAUCAUUCUUGGGGAAAUCUACCACUCUGCUGUCUUGUUAGAGAUUCAGAGUGAUGACGUUUCGAGUCCACAAGACACUAAUCAACAGAUGACCAUGAAUGCAGCUGAUGUUGUCAUCCCUGAGGAAAGCUCCUACCCGGCUGUCUUUGUAGAGAUGCAGAUGGAUGAAGCUUUUGAUCCACCAGACUCUAAUCAGCAGAUGAAAGACACAGAUGUUGAAGAGUCAAAUGAUGAAUCUGACUCUGCAUCAGGGAGUAGUGAUGAGUACAUACCAGAUACCACUUCUGAAAGUGAAGAGAGUGAUGCGAGCCUGAAACCAAGGACCAAACCCUUUUCUCUUGAUGACGUAUUGAAUGACUCCGGUUCAAUGAGUCCCCCCAGUCUGUGACACGACAACUUUAGACCAUGUGAUCUUUGACAGCAACACAACAACAUAUGAGGUCACUGAAGCAGACGGACCCUGCACAAGUCAAGACAUGACUGACAGCAUAGUUGUUCGUGCUUCCAAAAAAAGAAAUGGCAAUAGAGUGUACAACAAGAGACAUUAUUGCUUGUAUUGCAGGAAACCUUAUGCCAAGAUGGCAAGACAUCUAGAAAGUGCACACCAAGAUAAAUCAGAUGUGGCCAAAGCUCUUAGCUUUCGAAAGGUUCCAAGGAAAGGAAAAAACAGCUGGAUUAUAUUCGCAACAGAGGCAACUAUGCUCACAAUGCUGCUGUUAUGGAGUCAGGGAAUGGAGAAUUGGUACCAUUUAAACAACCACCUAAAGAAGCAAAAGGAGGUGAUUUCAUGCACUGUGCAUACUGCCAAGGACUUUUUACAAGAAAGGUCCUGUGGCGACACAUGCGAAGUUGUAAACUCCAACCUGGAUCAGUUCGCCCCAGACCAGGAAAGAACCGUGUUCAGUCUUUGUGUACAUUCACAGGGCCGGUGCCUUCACACAUAAGUAAACAAUUGUGGGGAGUUAUCAGUGCCAUGAAGCCUGAUCCAAUCACGGAUACAAUAAAAAAUGACCAUGUCAUUACUGAUGUUGGGCAGCACCUGUUAAACAAAGGUGGGAUGUCAGCCAAGAAUCAACAGUGUGUGCGAGAGAAGAUGCGAGAAAUGGGAAGGUUGGUUCACAAUGCCAAGAGAGAGUUAGCACCUUAAAUAAAAUGGAGGAUUUCAUAAAUCCUAAAAAUUAUUUGGAUAUGGUCAAAGCUGUCAAGUUAACUUGUGGCUUUUACAGUGACACAAACACAUUCUUGAUUCCAUCACUGGCAAAUAAACUUGUUAAAGUCAGCAAACUCUUGAAAGCUCAGGGUUUGAUCUCAGAAAACAAAGAGCUUGUAAGGAAUGCCACUGAGUUUCAAGAAGUCCACAGCGAAAAGUGGAACGAGAUGGUAUCUGCAACAGCGCUAAGGAACAUUGCAGAAGCAAAGUGGAAUGUGCCCACUCUAAUGCCCUUUACUGAGGAUGUACAAAAAAAUGCAUCAGUUUCUCAGUCAAAUGCAAAAUGAGUGCAGCAAUGCUCUGUCUGAAAGUCCUUCUACAAAGGCCUGGCUUGACCUGGCAAAGGUGUGCUAGCACAGACCAUCCUCUUUAACCGGCUGAGGAAGGAGGUGGGGAGCAUGCCCUUGUCUGCAUUUCUAUCAAGAGACUCCUCAGAUCCCCACCAGGAUUUGGACUGGGCACUCUCUGAAGUGGAAAAAAACUUUGCAGACAUUUCUCAAGGAUAAUCAUCAGGGGAAAACGAGGUAGGCCGGUUCCCAAUUCUUCUGACUCCGAAAAUGCUGUGUGCAUUAGAACUGCUUGUUAAGCAUAGAGAGGCUUGUGGAGUUCUCAAAGACAAUGCUUACAUGUUUGCAAGACCCACAGCUAUGACACACAUCCGUGGUUCAGACUGCAUCCGUGGCUUCGCAAAGGAAUGUGGUGCAAAGUGUCCUGAGUCACUGACAUCCACCAGACUACGAAAACAUGCUGCAACCCUUUCAACCGUGCUGAACAUGACAGACACAGAGAUGGACCCAGCUGGCCAACUUUCUUGGUCAUGACAUUAGAAUCCAUCGUGAGUUCUAUCGACUCCCUGAGAAGACCCUGCAACUCGCCAAAAUCAGCAAAGUCCUAAUGGCACUUGAGCAAGGAAGAUUGGCUGAGUUCCAUGGCAAGAACUUGGAUGAAAUUACAAUUAAUCCAGAUGGUAUGUUUUCAGAUUUGUAUCUCCUUUGUCUAUCUUUUUUCCAUCCUUUCUUUUGUUUGAUCACAUUUAAAAGCUGUACCGGUAUGUCUCCCACAGAAAAAGUUCUGGAUUGUGAUGAGGAAGAUGAGAAGAGAGAGGAAGAAAACUGUUCAUCUGCUGUUAAUGGUAAUUUUAGUAAUUUAAUGUAAAAAAAAAAAAAUAGGUUCGUAACUUUUUACUGGACCUGGACCAUCAAGUAAUCAUUAUUUUUAGACCCGUCUAAGUAUCU